UGAGUGCGAGCUGCUACGGCAGCGAAGUUGGUGACGUCAAGCUUCCAAGAAAAGCCCUAUACCCGUUAAGGCAUCAUGGCCUGUACCCGAAACCGACACAGGUGGGGUGGUAGAGAAUACCGAGGGGCGCGAGGUAACUCUCUCUAAGGAACUCGGCAAAAUGGCCCCGUAACUUCGGGAGAAGGGGUGCCACCGCAAGGUGGUCGCAGUGAAGAGGCCCAGGCGAUUGUUUACCAAAAACACAGGUCUCCGCUAAGUCGCAAGACGAUGUCUGGGGGCUGACGCCUGCCCAGUGCCGGAAGGUUAAGGAAGCUGGUCAGCGCAAGCGAAGCUGGCGACUGAAGCCCCGGUGAACGGCGGCCGUAACUAUAACGGUCCUAAGGUAGCGAAAUUCCUUGUCGGGUAAGUUCCGACCCGCACGAUAGGCGUAACGAUCUGGGCGCUGUCUCGGAGAGAGGCUCGGCGAAAUAGAAUUGUCUGUGAAGAUGCGGACUACGUGCACCCGGACAGAAAGACCCUAUGAAGCUUUACUGUAGCUUGGUAUUGUGCCCGGGCUCUGAAUGCGCAGGAUAGGUGGGAGGCUUUGAUCAUCGGCUUGCGGGUCGAUGUGAGCCAACGGUGAGAUACCACUCUUUCAGAGCUAGGGUUCUAACAGUCACCCGUUAUCCGGGGACUGACAGUAUCAGGUGGGCAGUUUGACUGGGGCGGUCGCCUCCUAAAAGGUAACGGAGGCGCGCAAAGGUCUGCUCAGGCUGGUUGGAAAUCAGCCGACGAGUGUAAAAGCAGAAGCAGGCUUGACUGUGAGACCUACAAGUCGAACAGGGAGGAAACUCGGCUUUAGUGAUCCGACGGAUCUGCGUGGAAGGGCCGUCGCUCAACGGAUAAAAGUUACUCUAAGGAUAACAGGCUGAUCUCCCCCAAGAGUUCACAUCGACGGGGAGGUUUGGCACCUCGAUGUCGGCUCAUCGCAACCUGGGGCUGAAGUCGGUCCCAAGGGUUGGGCUGUUCGCCCAUUAAAGCGGUACGCGAGCUGGGUUCAGAACGUCGUGAGACAGUUCGGUCCAUAUCCGGUGCAUGCGCAGGAAUAUUGAGAGGAGUUCUCCCUAGUACGAGAGGACCGGGAGGAACGCACCUCAGGUGUACCAGUUAUCGUGCCAACGGUAAACGCUGGGUAGCCAUGUGCGGAGAGGAUAACCGCUGAAAGCAUCUAAGUGGGAAGCCCACCUCAAGAUGAGUAUUCCCAUGGCGUUAGCCAGUAAGGUCACGGGAAGAACACCCGUUAAUAGGCUCUAUGUGGAAGCGCAGUAAUGCGUGAAGCAGAGGAGUACUAAUAGACCGAGGGCUUGACC
rnacentral:rRNA from 1 species